rnacentral:lncRNA from 10 species
GACUCUACUGAUGACACAUUCGGAGUUGUCAGAGGUAAUUCUCAGUAUAACAGCAAGAGAUUGACUAAGUAGUUCUCCAUCAAGACAUUUCUUAUUGUCUCCUAAGUAAAGCUCCAGUGCCACCGGUGAUAUUUUCCAAAGAGGUACACACAUUGAUCUCUGAAGUUUGGGAUUUACCAGGCAGAUGCUUCCCCUCCCACACUUUUGGGUACCCAUCUGAAGAGUGAUUCCUUUCAUACACCCAACACUUGAGCUUCACUAUCCAGUGUGCCGAUUUCAUAUGCGUUGCCACGUACUUUCAAAUAAGUACUUCUUUACUGCCUAGACCAGAGCCAGGUUUAUUCCAUCAAAUUCCCAGGAUAUUUUUUAAGUGGAGAAGAGUUUCCAUGUGCAAUAUAUUUUCAGUUUCAUGAGUUCAGCUUGAUGGUGCCAAUUCCAGGAAAAAUUGCCUGUUCACAAGCAGGUAUCAUUAUGGAUUCAAUGGUAAUGGCAUUCUCAGCUAUAUAAAAAGCCAGCAAAUUGUGAUUUCUGAACUGACCAACUUGGAUAAUGAACAGAACCUUCAUUCUGGCCAGGAACCUGAGACAGCCUGUGACACAGCGGAUUUUUUCAGCUUCGAGCACUGGGAACCUCCAGCAAUGCCUGUCCCACCGGCAGGAGGUGUCUGGAAUGAGUCCUGCUGACCCAGAGCAGAUGUGAGUCACAUUUGGGGCAAGGAGAAAAGAGUUGCCUUCCAUGGAAGCCAAACGACCUGAUUGUGUUUCAACCUGGGAGGCACGUGGCAAGGCAGGGCAGGUGUUGCUACUUCCACUGGUCAUUGAAAAAGGCUGGGUACAGGAGAGUCAAGCAUGCCUAAAGGCCUAUAAUGAGUAAAGAGAAGGGCCUGUAUCAUAACUGUUUGCCUGCCUCUAAAGCUCAUAUUAUUUCAAGAUGAGAAAAACAUGAGAAGGAGUUUUCAAGGUAAAAUGCAGCAUACUGAUGUGAGAUGAUAUUUGGGGAAAAAAAAAAGCAGAAACAAUUUACCAUAGAAGAUGUGUCAAACAUAAGAUAUUUGAAUAUCAGGCAUUUUUACAGUGAAAGAGCUCUUCCUAGGGUAUAUCUAAGAGAGAUCAGCAAAAAGUGCUACACUAAAGGAAUAUAAAAGUUUUCCAAUUUAAUUAUUCUUGAUUUUGUUCAUAAAUCAACACUGAAUUUCGAUAUUGUGGUGCUCACAACAUUUUGUAGUCCAGCAGCUUAGACUGUUUUUCUCUACAAUAAGAAUCAGUCCCAUGUGAUGUUAGUAUUUUUUAAUAAAAAAUGAUUUUCUCAUAAACAUGUAAAAUCACUUUUUUCAUCAAGAAAUCAAAUAUUUUUAAAAUAAAGCCUUUGGUUCAC